rnacentral:rRNA from 1 species
CCUACGGGCGGCAGCAGUGGGGAAUAUUGCGCAAUGGGCGAAAGCCUGACGCAGCGACGCCGCGUGAGGGAUGAAGGUCUUCGGAUCGUAAACCUCUGUCAGCAGGGAAGAACGGUCACUGUGCUAAUCAGCAGUGAAUUGACGGUACCUGCAAAGGAAGCACCGGCUAACUCCGUGCCAGCAGCCGCGGUAAUACGGAGGGUGCGAGCGUUAAUCGGAAUUACUGGGCGUAAAGCGCUCGUAGGCGGUAUGUCAAGUCAAGGGUGAAAUCCCCGCGCUCAACGUGGGAACUGCCUUUGAAACUGGCAAACUGGAGUGUGUGAGAGGAUAGGGGAAUUCCAGGUGUAGGAGUGAAAUCCGUAGAUAUCUGGAGGAACAUCAGUGGCGAAGGCGACUAUCUGGAACAUAACUAACGCUGAGGAGCGAAAGCGUGGGUAGCAAACAGGAUUAGAUACCCGAGUAGUC